AAUAAUAAUUUGCUUUAAGUUUAUUCAUAACUUUUGCAUUCUUUGCUAUAAGGAAAUUAUUAAUUUUGUUCUGAAUAUUUUUCAAAUCAUCUGCGUUUUCUUUAGAGGGGGACUGCUUAUUCUUGAUUGCAGUCUUUUUUAAUUCUUCUUGUAAUGCCAGAAAAAGUUUAUUGUUUUCUACUUUGUAUCUUGUUUGUAUACUUAUUAUGUUACCUCUCAUGGUGGAUUUAAAUGCACA